rnacentral:rRNA from 1 species
UACGUAGGGUGCGAGCGUUAAUCGGAAUUACUGGGCGUAAAGCGUGCGCAGGCGGUUCGUUGUGUCGGUGGUGAAAUCCCCGGGCUUAACCUGGGAAUGGCCAUGGAAACUGGCGAACUGGAGUGUGGCAGAGGGGGGUGGAAUUCCGCGUGUAGCAGUGAAAUGCGUAGAGAUGCGGAGGAACACCGAUGGCGAAGGCAGCCCCGUGGGCUAGCACUGACGCUCAGGCACGAAAGCGUGGGGAGCAAACAGG